AUAGCUCCGAACCAAGUUUGGUUUCUUUUGCUUUUCUUGUUAGUUUUGAGGGUUGGGAAGUUUUAUUCUUGCUAGAUCUUCUUGCUAGAGUAUUUAUUAAACCCUAGAAGCACUCAUUUUCCCAUUUUAAGCAUUGUUAUUCAUUUCAAUUGAUCAAGUCAUUGAUGUUGCUUGUUUGGUUGUUCAAAUGCUUCUAGGAGGUGAGACUUCAAUCAAGGGGAAAGAACUAGUGGAGAAGUAACACUUGGGUGUUUUAGCUCGCCAAGUUUGGGGCGCGUAGAGAGCCUGAAAGGUGUACAGGGUUUGGUGCCCAGAGUCACCACGCAGGUUUCCCAACGGCCAACACCAAGAUACGCGCAUCUUGGUGGCUCUUGACCUAACCGAGGCCACGGUUAGCGAAUGGAGGGUUUUUGAGUUGAUAGCACAGCAGCGGAGUAAAAGCGUGAAGUGCUUAGCAGAGUUUAUUUUGUGAUUUUCUUAAGCUGUGUAUGAUACUUCAAAAAUUUUGGCAUGUAUUAGAAGGAUCCACUAGGAUGUUAUACCUUCAUAUUUGAUUUUCACUUCUCUUGGAUAUUCCUAAUUGUGU